CCCUUAGAUGUCCUGGGCCGCACGCGUGCUACACUGACGCCUACAGCGAGUACUUCCCAGCCCCGAGAGGUGGCUGGUAAUCAGCAAUAGGCGUCGUGAUGGGGGUAGAUCUUUGGAAUUAUGGAUCUUGAACGAGGAAUGCCUAGUAAGCGCAGGUCAUUAGCCUGCGCUGAUUAAGUCCCUGCCCUUUGUACACACCGCCCGUCGCUCCUACCGAUUUCGAGUGGUCCGGUGAAUCUUUCGGACUGCGCGCGGCCUCGUGCCGUGUCGCGGAAAGUCAGGUAAACCUUAUCACUUAGAGGAAGGAGAANUCGUANCA
rnacentral:rRNA from 1 species